rnacentral:lncRNA from 1 species
GGGACAUGCGCAAAAAUGCGGCGGGGUUAAACAUGUUUAUGAGAUCUCAACCCUCCCCCUAUACCUCUAGCCAAUGUAGAAAAGUAAACGCAAAACAAUAAGCACAUUAAAAUUCAGUUCAAGAGAAGUCCGAAUCUGAUGUCAGAAGAUGUAACCAAAGAAAAUAAACAAAAUGACAAUAAUACAUAAAUAACAACAGAC